UGCUGUCAGAAUUAGGAGUUUUCUAACAGAAACCUAAGGAGAAGCCAAUACAAACUUUUGAUCGGUUCAAUCAUCUCUUAAGUAAGAUGAUAAAACAUAGAAUAGAGAGGAAGUUGAUUGAGCAGAAAGUAACUUUCAUGAACGGACGCAGACCAGAAUGGAUGACUGUGGUUUCUACUGUAAAAGUGCAUGAACAGUUUAAGUCUUAUUCGCUAGCGAAACUUGUGGGAAUACUUAAAUCCCAUGAAAGUGUCGUAACCAAAGAAGCAAAAGUGGUUUAUGGUGUAGGAUUGUUGGCCCUUGUCUUAAAAGCAAAAGGCAUUGCAGAAGAAGAAGAUGAGUCCGAUUUGUCUGAAUGUGACCUUACAAGUGAGGAGUAUGCUAUGAUGGUCACCAAUCAAAAGAAGUUUGCAAGAAGAAAAUUCCCGGUCAGCAAGAACUGAAACUGGCAGGGAAGUUACUGAUGGGUUUUGAGCAUUCUAACACUUCCUAAGUGUACAUGCAACCCUAAUAACCUUGGAUCUAUGUUUGUCUAAUUAUCAUGCAAACUUGAAUUUCCAAGGUUAUAUUCCUAUCUAGCAUACAUGGGGAACAAUUUAACUUGAAUGAAAGAUAGAAUAACUUACCUUGUUGUUGCUUAUGUUCCUUGAAACCUUGUGAGCCUAGCACCCCAAGUGUGAUGCCUCAAAUGCUUCACACAACACCAAAUGCUCUUGGAAAAACUUUUGAGAGAAUACACACUACUUAAAAUCGGCCAAGCCCUCUAGUUUCAUAUGUGUAACCGAUUUUGGUGGAGAAUGGGACUCUUAUAUAGUCUUGACACAUCUAGGGUUACACCAUGUAAACCCCAAUGUGUCAUGACUCUUCAUUUCCAUGACCCAUGGGUUUGUAACUCCCAUGGAGCAUCCUAUGGGUAGAACCCAACUUGAUAAUCCAUGGAGCCUCUUAGCCCACUAUACAAGAUAUGAAUGAUUUACAUAAUCAACCCAUAUAUUUAAUUAGUUAUCCUUUGAUCACUAAUUAAUUCCCAAAUUAAUUCUUUGAUCAAACUAAUCAAAUAAUAUUAUUAAUAUAUUAGAACUUAUAAUAUAUUAAUAAUCUCCAAGUGUUAUUUCUCUCAUUUAGUCUAUCCAAUUGCAUGGUGCCAUGCAACCCAAAUGGACCAUGCCGGGUCGGGUCAAGUACAAACCCGAAAUAGUUAUGGACUUAGACACCUUAUCCAACAGUCUCCCACUUGGAUAAGUCUAAUAACUAUAUCUCUAGUACUUCAGGAACCGACCGGCAAUCGUAGCUCUUUCAAGGUCUCUCGGAACUGAGAAGAUGAUGGUACGCCAUUUAAGAUAAGUGAUCAUAUAAUCCUCCGUUCUAGAUAUCAGCCGGACAAAUACAUGGAACAAUGUCUUACUUAUUGUCCAGCAGUUUGUUUCCCGAUUUCCGAUUUGUUUGACAAAGAACUUAAUUGAACACAUCAACUUAGUUCUGACCGGGCCCGGUACAUAGGUCAAAACAAAAUCAUCGAGGGGCCCAGAUAUCAGCUUCUAAUCCAAGAAGGAACAGAUAAACUUCGACUCAUAUGUUUGUUCUACCACUCAUUGAAUUACACACAAAAGUACGUUUUAUAACAUCGAGUUACCAAUGCGGUUUCGUACAGUCAAUGCAUAACCAACUUGUAAGUAACAAAUCAUAUCUCUAGGUUUGAAGACUUAUAUGAUAUUACCGUCUCACGAUCACUCGAGAUAGAAUUCCAUGAAGUGAUUCCAGUGAGCGUGGGUUGAGUCCAAUGCUCAGAACUUAUGAGCACUCAUGAUUGUUGUAGCCUUGUCCAACACCUUAGACCUCUACAACCCAUCAUGACAGUCUUGAUUCAUACCUACUUCCGACAUAUGACCGACUGUGGAGGUUUGAAUAAUAUGUUAUACCAAACAAAAUUAUUCUGGAAGUCAAAACAUGCAAAAGAAAUAUAGUAAACGAUCGACAAGAGAUAGCAACACUUUACUCAUAAAUAAAACACCUUUUAUUCAUCAUCAAAUGUCAAUUACACUUUACAAAUUUCUGGGUUAUCUAACUACUAAAACUUAUAUCAUCCUUCAGCCCUAUGCUCCGAGCAUGCUGGAGAUGCUUAACCCUACUCAGUCCCUUCGUGAGGGGAUCUGCUGGGUUCUCAUCCGAUGAUACCCUCUUUGCCACGAGGAGUCCUUCUUCGAUCCGAUGUCUAAUGAAAUGGUAUUUUCUGUCGAUGUGUCUGGAUCUCCCAUGAUCCCUUGGUUCCUUGGCUAAGGCAACAGCACUUUCACUAUCACAGAAAAUUUCCAUUGGCUCUUUAAUAGCUGGUACAACUCCAAGGUCUCCAAUGAAGUUCUUCAGCCAUAUCGCCUCCUUUGCUGCUUCACUAGCUGCAAUAUACUCUGAUUCACAAGUAGAAUCUGCCACUGUCUCUUGCUUGGAACUCUUCCAAGAAAUUGCUCCUCCGUUUAGGGUAAAGACCCAGCCCGACUGAGAGCGGAAAUUAUCCCUAUCAGUCUGGAAGCUAGCAUCACUAUACCCUACAACUCUCAAGUCAUCACUCCCACCGAGGGUAAGGACCCAGUCCUUAGUCCUCCGUAGGUACUUGAGGAUAUUCUUUACCGCAGUCCAGUGUGCCUUGCCAGGGUUCGCCUGAUACCUGCUAACCAUGCUCAAGGCAAAAGCUACAUCGGGUCGAGUACACGUCAUAGCAUACAUGAUCGAUCCUACAGCCGAAGCGUAAGGUGUUCGACUCAUUUCUGCUAUCUCAGCCUCAGUGCUAGGGCUUUGUGUCUUACUCAAUCUGGUGUUACUCUGGAUGGGUAACUCUCCUUUCUUGGAAUCCUGCAUGCUGAAUCUCUUCAGCACCUUAUCCAAGUAGGUACUCUGACUAAGUCCAAUUAGUCUUUUACUCCGAUCUCUCAAGAUUCUUAUCCCUAGAAUAUAGGCAGCUUCACCAAGGUCCUUCAUAGCGAAACACUUCCCAAGCCAGGACUUUACUUCCUGCAGGGUUGGAAUGUCGUUUCCUAUGAGUAGUAUGUCAUCCACAUACAAUACCAAAAAGCUAACUAUACUCCCACUAGCCUUGACAUACACACAAGAUUCAUCUUCACUCCUAGAAAAGCCAAAUUCCUUGACCUUUUCAUCAAAGCAAAGAUUCCAUCUGCGAGGUGCUUGCUUCAAUCCAUAAAUGGAUUUCUCAAGCUUACACACUCUAUUAGGGUACUCGUUGCUGACAAAACCCUCUGGCUGACUCAUGUAAACAUCUUCAGCCAACUUUCCAUUAAGGAAAGCGGUUUUGACAUCCAUCUGCCAUAUUUCAUAGUCAUGAAAUGCAGCUAUGGCUAACAGAACCCGAAUAGACUUAAUCUUGGCUACCGGAGAAAAGGUCUCAUCAUAAUCCACUCCAGGAAUUUGAGAGAAGCCCUUUGCAACCAGUCUAGCCUUAUAAGUGUGUACUUUACCAUCCAUGUCGGUCUUCUUCUUGAAGACCCAUUUGCACCCUACUGUCUUACGACCUGGUACAUUUUCAACCAAGUUCCAAACUUGAUUGUCAUACAUGGAUUGUAUCUCGCUAUCCAUAGCCUCUUUCCAUUUAGCAGACUCGGGGCCUGCCAUGGCUUCCUCGUAGCUGUUAGGGUCAUCUUGACUUACUAGUGUCUCAUCACUAAUAAGUGUCUCACCUUCUGCAGUAAUAUGGAAUCCAUAGUAAUGCUCAGGUGCACUCCUAACUCUCGUGGAACGUCUCAGAGGUACAGAUUUGUCAAUUGGCUCAACAGGAGUUUCCUCCUCAAGUUGAGGGCUAGAGUUUGAAGUUCCUUCACCGCUUGAUUCUUGAAUUUCUUCAAGAUCAAUUUGCCUCCCACUGUCUCCUUGGCUUAUAAACUCUCUUUCUCGAAAGACUCCUCUUCUUGCUACAAAGACCACAUUGUCACUAGGUCUGUAGAAGAGGUAACCAAAGGAUCGCUGUGGGUAACCGAUGAAAAUACACCUCUCGCUUCGAGGUUCGAGCUUAUCAUGAGUCUCGCGUCUCACGAAAGCCUCGCAACCCCAAAUCUUGAUGUGGUCUAGUUUAGGUACUUUACCAGUCCACAUCUCGUGAGGAGUUUUGGCAACUUUCUUUGUAGGGACUAGAUUAAGAAUAUGGGCGGCAGUCUCUAAGGCAUACCCCCAGAAUGAGAUUGGUAGCGUAGCUCGACUCAUCAUGGAACGAACCAUAUCUAACAAGGUUCGAUUACGCCUCUCAGCCACACCAUUCAACUGUGGUGUCCUGGGAGGUGUCAAUUGUGAGACUAUCCCACAUUCCCUUAGAUAGUCGAGGAACUCUGAACUAAGAUACUCACCACCACGAUCGGAUCGAAGCAUCUUAAUGUUCCUGCCCAAUUGAUUCUCGACUUCCUGUUUAAAUUCCUUAAACCUCUCGAAAGUCUCUGACUUAUGCUUGAUCAAGUAGACAUAUCCAUAUCUACUAUAAUCAUCAGUAAAAGUCAAAUAAUAACGAUUAGCAUCCCUUGUGGCAUGUUUGAAUGGUCCACACACAUCCGUGUGUAUAAGGUCCAACAAACCUUCACCCCUCUCACACGAACCUGUGAAGGGUGACUUUGUCAUUUUUCCAAGUAAGCAUGAUUCGCAACUAUCAUCUGACUUUAGGUCAAACGACUCCAAGACUCCAUCCUUUUGGAGUUGGCCUAUGCGUUUCUUGCUUAUAUGUCCAAGACGACAAUGCCAUAAAGAUGCUUUAUCCAAGUUAUUAUUAGUAGAAUCAAUACACAAAACAUUAUUUCCCAAGUUAUCUACAACAGAUACAGCUUCAUACACACCAUCACAAGGUAAUGCUUUAAAAUAAAAGACAUUAUUAUAGAAAACAUCUAUAGAACCAACUUCAUUAUUAAAUGAAAAGGUAAACCCUUGUUUGUACAAAGCAUGAAAGGAAAUAAUAUUUCUUGCCAUUCCUGGCGAAUAACAACACUUAUUCAAAUCUAAACUAAACCCACUACUUAGCGAUAAAGUAUAAACUCCAAUCUUGGUAACAGGUAUAGCUUUCCUAUUCCCCAUGAUCAAGUUUAUCCUUCCUUGCUCCACAUCCUCACUUCUUCUUAGUCCCUGCAAGUCACAACAAAUGUGAAUACCACACCCGGUAUCAAGGACCCAAGAAUUAGAAUGGGGUGAGUUAUUAGAAAUGAUAGUGUAAAUACCUGCAUGGUUGGGUUUAACUUUCCCAUCCUUCACAUCUUGCUGGUAUUUUGGGCAGUUCCGCUUCCAAUGAGCUUUUUCAUGGCAAUAGAAGCAUUCAGCCUCUUUUGGGUCAGAAGAAGGAGUAACGAAACCUUUCUUGGUUCCACUUGAAGAAGAGCCAUCAAGGGUCCGAGCCUUGGUACCCUUAGAAGAGCUCUUUCUCUUCCUCCCUCGACUUUUCCCGAUUGCCAAAACCGGAGUAGAGUUUUGAGUAGGAGUGAUAGCAACCGACUUCCCCUUAAGACCUGUUUCUGCGGUCUUGAGAAGUCCCUGAAGUUUGCUGAGGGUGACUUCUUCCUUGUUCAUGUGAUAUGUCAUGCGGAAUUGAUCAUAGCACGAUGGUAAGGAAUGCAAAAUAAUAUCUAUUGCAAGAUCCUCCGGGAAGUUCACAUUAAGCUUCAGCAAACGAUCCACAUACCUUUGCAUUUUCUGCAUGUGGCUCGUGACGGAUUCCCCGUCCUUCAUCAUGGUUGUUAUCAUGGAGCAGAUGAUUUCAUACCUCUCUUGUCUUGCACUUUGAUGGUAUCUUUCCAUCAAAUCUUGGUGCAUGUCAUAAGGGUAGAAAUCCUCAUAAGACUUUUGGAGUUCCGCUGUCAUCGUGGCCAUCAUGAUGCAAGCCACUUUCGUAGCAUCCCUUUCAUGUGCCCGAAAUUCAGCGAUCUCCUGAGGAGUUGCAGUGGACUCAUCAAUCUCCUUAAGCUCCUUGUCAAGGACAUAUUCUUUGUCCUCGUAGCGGGUAAUCAUCCUGAUGUUUCUGAUCCACUCAUUGAAGUUGGAUCCAUCAAAGGUGACUUUCCCACACAAGUUCAUAAGGGUAAAGGAGCCAUUAGGAUUAGAGCCAGAAGCAUUGUUGAAAGACAUCUGAAGGAAAGAGGACAAGAUUAGUUUAGAUAUAAGAGAGUCCUUAAUAAAACACCCAAAUGUAAUAUUAAGGCUAGGAUCCAAUCACAAUAUAAUAUAACUUAGAAGAGGUAUGCCGUAAUCUAAGCUAUAUCAUAUUUGAAAGGUAGGUGAAUGACGAUUCACCAAUUUCCACCACGAAAACCGCAAUAUUUUAGUAUUAGGUUUUUGAAUGGUUCUUAGAAAUUCCUAGAUUCUUUGAGAUUCAAUGAACUUUUCAAAGGCAUGUUUCAAUCUCGAGUGUGCCCUCCAAGUUUUGUGACUGGGAUACCGAGGAUCACAAAACGAGGUGUGAAGUAACCAUGCAAAUCACUUGGUACCCUUAAAGUUUAUCACUCAAUCGAUGUGCCGGUUAACCACACACGCUCCAUCGAUACUAUAAUAAACCCUAAGUCACCCUUUACCUACCUUGUUAAGUCCAAGUUAGUGUGCCGGUUAACCACACACGCUCCACCAACGACUUAAUCAAAGUGUAAAGUGUAAUUUCAUGGAAUAGCACCUUAUUCACAUUUUUCCUAAAGUAACUAAGAUUGGGAAUUUAAUAAAACAUUUAGUUACUUUAUAAUAUUCAUCAUACUUUGAAUGAGAAUUAAUAAGUCCUUGUCUUACCCGUUCGGCUAACGACCCUCCACCGAUCAAGCAAGCGGUGGGUGAGAGUGGACACCCAUUAAGUCACCAUUUUAUAGGCAACAACCUUAUACCCACCUUAUAGACCGGCUUCGUGAAUGAGGCGUACUAGCGGUAAGACGACUUUGUUCUUAUACAUAUAUAUAUAAUUAUUAAAUCAUAAUAAUAUAAGUAUAAGGGUUGAAUUUUAACUUUUAAAAUUCUAGGGGUUGGAACUAAAGUUUUAACUUAACUUUACUUGUUCCAAAACUUGAGGGCAAGUUUUGUAAACUUUCAAAACUUUUCAUUUCUUGUAACUUAUGAGUUUAAUAGAGUAAUAAAAUGAGGACUUUUCAUUUUUCCUAACUCUUGUGUUCUUUUAAUGGUUUUUAAUCCAAGAGACUUUUGGUUUUCCAUAACUUGAGGACAAGUUAUGGACUCCAUUAAAACACAUUAUGAUCAUGAAUUAAUCUACCACAUAGGUUACAAAUAAUUCCUAUGAUCAUCUAAACAUCAUAAGAACAAGAAUAUGAAUAUGAACACUUUCAAGAAUCAAAAUCACAUUUAAUCUUUGUAAUUUUGAUAACUAGUUGUUGUAAAUGAGUUAGAAAAGACAUUACACCUUCUAAAAUAAGUUUUCAAGUACCAAAACAUUUUAGGGUAAUGAUUCUAAUCCAUUUCCAGCAACACAAGUCGAAAUUCUGCACUCUGUCGACCCUACUCGCCGAGUGCAUAAACCUACUCGCCGAGUAGGUUGAAGAUACACAUGAACUCGUCGAGUCCUCCCCAUGGACUCGCCGAGUCCAUCAGUCAGACAGCAAGAUUUUCGACUUUCUUCAACUUUUAAGCACAAAUAACAAACAAACAAGCCUAGGCUCUGAUACCACUGAUGGGUUUUGAGCAUUCUAACACUUCCUAAGUGUACAUGCAACCCUAAUAACCUUGGAUCUAUGUUUGUCUAAUUAUCAUGCAAAGUUGAAUUCCAAGGUUAUAUUCCUAUCUAGCAUACAUGGGGAACAAUUUUAACUUGAAUGAAAGAUAGAAUAACUUACCUUGUUGUUGCUUAUGUUCCUUGAAACCUUGUGAGCCUAGCACCCCAAGUGUGAUGCCUCAAAUGCUUCACACAACACCAAAUGCUCUUGGAAAGACUUUUGAGAGAAUACACACUUCUUAAAAUCGGCCAAGCCCUCUAGUUUCUUAUGUGUAGCCGAUUUUGGUGGAGAAUGGGACUCUUAUAUAGUGUUGACACAUCUAGGGUUACACCAUGUAAACCCUAAUGUGUCAUGACUCUUCAUUUCCAUGACCCAUGGGUUUGUAACUCCCAUGGAGCAUCCAUGGAGCAUCCUAUGGGUAGAACCCAACUUGAUAAUCCAUGGAGCCUCUUAGCCCACUAUACAAGAUAUGAAUGAUUUACAUAAUCAACCCAUAUAUUUAAUUAGUUAUCCUUUGAUCACUUAGUUAAUUCCAAAUUAAUUCUUGAUCAAACUAAUCAAAUAAUAUUAUUAAUAUAUUAGAACUUAUAAUAUAUUAAUAAUCUCCAAGUGUUAUUUCUCAUUUUAGUCUAUCCAAUUGCAUGGUGCCAUGCAACCCAAAUGGACCAUGCCGGGUCGGGUCAAGUACGGACCCGAAAUAGUUAUGGACUUAGACACCUUAUCCA
rnacentral:lncRNA from 1 species